rnacentral:rRNA from 1 species
UGGGGAAUAUUGGACAAUGGGCGAAAGCCUGAUCCAGCCAUGCCGCGUGUGUGAAGAAGGUCUUCGGAUUGUAAAGCACUUUAAGUUGGGAGGAAGGGCAGUAAGCGAAUACCUUGCUGUUUUGACGUUACCGACAGAAUAAGCACCGGCUAACUCUGUGCCAGCAGCCGCGGUAAUACAGAGGGUGCAAGCGUUAAUCGGAAUUACUGGGCGUAAAGCGCGCGUAGGUGGUUCGUUAAGUUGAAUGUGAAAGCCCCGGGCUCAACCUGGGAACUGCAUCCAAAACUGGCGAGCUAGAGUAGGGCAGAUGGUGGUGGAAUUUCCUGUGUAGCGGUGAAAUGCGUAGAUAUAGGAAGGAACACCAGUGGCGAAAGCGACCACCUGGGCUCAUACUGACACUGAGGUGCGAAAGCGUGGGGAGCAAACAGG